GUGAAAGAGCCCAGGCCUGGGGGAACCAGAGGAUGGGGUGGGUCAGGAUGGACACAUCACUUUCUUGUGAGGUUAAAGCACCAGAAGUGAUGUGUCCCUCCUGACCCACCCCAUCCUCUGGUUCCCCCAGGCCUGGGCUAAAGAAAC
rnacentral:miRNA from 1 species